rnacentral:rRNA from 1 species
GACGAACGCUGGCGGCGUGCUUAACACAUGCAAGUCGAACGGAAAGGCCCUGCUUUUGUGGGGUGCUCGAGUGGCGAACGGGUGAGUAACACGUGAGUAACCUGCCCUUGACUUUGGGAUAACUUCAGGAAACUGGGGCUAAUACCGGAUAUGAGCUCCUGCUGCAUGGUGGGGGUUGGAACGUUUCGGCGGUUGGGGAUGGACUCGCGGGUUAUCAGCUUGUUGGUGGGGUAGUGGCUUACCAAGGCUUUGACGGGUAGCCGGCCUGAGAGGGUGACCGGCCACAUUGGGACUGAGAUACGGCCCAGACUCCUACGGGAGGCAGCAGUGGGGAAUAUUGCACAAUGGGCGGAAGCCUGAUGCAGCAACGCCGCGUGCGGGAUGACGGCCUUCGGGUUGUAAACCGCUUUCGCCUGUGACGAAGCGUGAGUGACGGUAAUGGGUAAAGAAGCACCGGCUAACUACGUG